rnacentral:rRNA from 1 species
AUUGAACGCUGGCGGCAGGCUUAACACAUGCAAGUCGAGCGGAGAUGAGGUGCUUGCACCUUAUCUUAGCGGCGGACGGGUGAGUAAUGCUUAGGAAUCUGCCGAUUAGUGGGGGACAACAUUACGAAAGGAAUGUUAAUACCGCAUACGUCCUACGGGAGAAAGCAGGGGAUCUUCGGACCUUGCGCUAAUAGAUGAGCCUAAGUCGGAUUAGCUAGUUGGUGGGGUAAAGGCCUACCAAGGCGACGAUCUGUAGCGGGUCUUAGAGGAGUAUCCGCCACACUGGGACUGAGACACGGCCCAGACUCCGACGGGAGGCAGCAGUGGGGAAUAUUAGACAAUGGGGGGAACCCUGAUCCAGCCAUGCCGCGUGUGUGAAGAAGGCCUUAUGGUUGUAAAGCACUUUAAGCGAGGAGGAGGCUACUGAGACUAAUACUCUUGGAUAGUGGACGUUACUCGCAGAAUAAGCACCGGCUAACUCUGUGCCAGCCGCCGCUGUAAUAC